AGAGUUUGAUUCUGGCUCAGAACGAACGCUGGCGGCGUGGAUAAGACAUGCAAGUCGAACGAGAGAAUUGCUAGCUUGCUAAUAAUUCUCUAGUGGCGCACGGGUGAGUAACACGUGAGUAACCUGCCCCCGAGAGCGGGAUAGCCCUGGGAAACUGGGAUUAAUACCGCAUAGUAUCGAAAGAUUAAAGCAGCAAUGCGCUUGGGGAUGGGCUCGCGGCCUAUUAGUUAGUUGGUGAGGUAACGGCUCACCAAGGCGAUGACGGGUAGCCGGUCUGAGAGGAUGUCCGGCCACACUGGAACUGAGACACGGUCCAGACACCUACGGGUGGCAGCAGUCGAGAAUCAUUCACAAUGGGGGAAACCCUGAUGGUGCGACGCCGCGUGGGGGAAUGAAGGUCUUCGGAUUGUAAACCCCUGUCAUGUGGGAGCAAAUUAAAAAGAUAGUACCACAAGAGGAAGAGACGGCUAACUCUGUGCCAGCAGCCGCGGUAAUACAGAGGUCUCAAGCGUUGUUCGGAAUCACUGGGCGUAAAGCGUGCGUAGGCUGUUUCGUAAGUCGUGUGUGAAAGGCGCGGGCUCAACCCGCGGACGGCACAUGAUACUGCGAGACUAGAGUAAUGGAGGGGGAACCGGAAUUCUCGGUGUAGCAGUGAAAUGCGUAGAUAUCGAGAGGAACACUCGUGGCGAAGGCGGGUUCCUGGACAUUAACUGACGCUGAGGCACGAAGGCCAGGGGAGCGAAAGGGAUUAGAUACCCCUGUAGUCCUGGCAGUAAACGGUGCACGCUUGGUGUGCGGGGAAUCGACCCCCUGCGUGCCGGAGCUAACGCGUUAAGCGUGCCGCCUGGGGAGUACGGUCGCAAGAUUAAAACUCAAAGAAAUUGACGGGGACCCGCACAAGCGGCACGCU
rnacentral:rRNA from 1 species